rnacentral:lncRNA from 1 species
GGCAUGGAUGGCCUGAUCCGGCUGAUCCGGAAUAUUGGGCCUUGAGCCUGUGAUUGGAUGCCGCCGGAGUAGCUGAAGAAGAAUUAACAGCUAGUGAACAAAAAGCUAGUCACUAAUUUCAUAAUUCCAUUUCGGAAGUGCGCAGCGAGAGAAGAAGGAAAUUCUUUAUUCAAAUUUCAAAGCAUGCUACCGCGCUCACGGCCCGGCUGGCCUGCCAGCGGUGGUGGGAAUUUUCCCGUUCCCUGGUCAAAGACUUGGGUGGACGCAACCAGAAGAAAUCGGUCGAGACCGAGGAGAACUGAGCAUAAGUCGGAGAUCAUAAAACCAAAACUAGAAUGAAUCGACUAGAAAGUUUGUUCCGUGGGCUUUCGUGAAUGGGGCUCAUGGCUUUCGAAGUCGAAAUCGCCCGGAAGA